rnacentral:rRNA from 1 species
GACGAACGCUGGCGGCGUGCUUAACACAUGCAAGUCGACGUGAGUGGCGGACGGGGGAGUAAUACGGGGGUAACCUGCCCUCCUUUUUGGGAUAAGCCUUGGGAACGGGGUCUACUACCGAAUAAAGGGGGCUGGGCUCGCUGCGUAUCAGCUUGUUGGUGGGGUGAUGGUCUACCAAGGCGGUGACGGGUAGUCGGCCUGAGAGGGUGACCGGCCACAUUGGGACUGAGAUACGGCCCAGACUCGUACGGGAGGCAGCAGUGGGGGAAAUGGCACAAUGGGCGAAAGCCUGAUGCAGCGACGCCGCGGGGGGGAUGAAGGCUGUCGGGUUGUAACCCUGGGUCGCUAGCUAACGGGUAGGUGGAGAAGAAGCGCCGGCUAACUACGUGCCAGCAGCCGCGGUAAUAC